CCGGGUUCUGCACAUCUGGGCCACGUGGCCGCAGGCUGCUCUCUGAUUGGCUGUCGCUGCUCUGGGUGAAGUUUGGUGUUUUUACGUCAAUCAGCUGAUUCCACAUGUCAACACAAAGACCAGCGCAGGUUGGGGUCACGUCAGCCGCGCAGCCAAUCAGUGAGCAGGAAUCCAGGCUCACCUGUCGGUUCUGUUCGGUUCCUGCAGCUGGAUCUGGAUCAGCCGCCGAACCGGAAGCUGCCCGCUUCCAUUUGGACUCAGAGAACCGAACCUCCGCCCCCUGUAGUUUGACCCGGGUCCUUCCCUCAGCUCGGUUCGGUCUGGUUCGGACUCCGAGCCGAACUUCAACAUAACAACCACCGCGGCUCGUGCCGCUCGGCUGCCGCGCGGCGCCGCUUCAGCCCGCAGACUUUUAACGGGAGUUCCGGUCCAGCAUACCUGGGUCACCUGCAGCUCCGGUCCGGAGAGCAGAACCGGUCCAGAGAACCUGAGAGUUCUGAUCGAUCAGCUGGGAUCCAUGCUCUGGUCGCUCUUCAUCGUCCUCCUCUUCAUCAUCCGCAACAUCAGCAGCACGAGGCGCGCUCCCGCCGCGGACACGCACACGCCUCGCCCAUGCGCGCGCAUGUGCGCCUGCCUGCCAGCAGCAGGUUUCUGCUUUCUUCUUCGUGUGUUUGGGUUUCUGCUCGCCAACACCGAGCAGAACUUCCCUGUUCGGAACCGACGGACCGGAAAGACAAAAAUAAAAACGCGAUGAAAUAUGAACCUGCAGAAAAACCGAUGGAAACAAAAACAUCUAAAAAACAAUCUGGACCCAACAGAACUUCUGCAGACUUUCUCUGCUUUCAUGGCUCCAUUUGUAAAAUUCAAAAAUACUUUAUUGAUCCAAAGGGAAAUGAAAUGUUGUAAAUCAUUUAUUGAGAUUCUAAUUGAAGAUGCUGCUGGCAGGAAGGAUCUCCUGUAGCAGUCUGUGUUACAGCACCUCUGAACAAGCCUCUGACUGAAGACGGGCCAGAACUUUAUUGAUUUUAAAGAAUCCUUCUUUGCAUCAUCAUCACCAGAGGAUCCACAGACAGAACCACAACAGAACCACAACAGAACCACAACAGAACCAGCCUUCUUAUUCAGCCUGUUGAGCCUCUUCAGCUCCUGGUUCUGGUGGUUCUGAUGGUUCUGACAGCAGAUCCAAACCCUGAAGGAUCUCCUCUUCCUCCGUCUCCAUCCAGAUGAUUUGACUGUUCCCUCCGUGACCCGAAGCAGUCCACCAGCUCUCUGUACUCAGCCUCUGAUAAACCAUCACCUGCAGAGUUAAGAUGGCGUCUCCAUGGCGAUAAGCAAACUGACCGGGUUUCUCUCCAGGACCUUCAUGAUGUGGGUUGUCAUGGCUACAGGUCUACAGUCGGUUGAAGAGAUGCUGCAGAAUCCCACAGAACCGCUCUGCAGCUUCAGGCCUUCAGAACCAAGACCAUCUGGACCUGGUUCCGGUUCCGUCUCUCCAGCUGCCUCUUCUGGACCAGAACCAGAUCAGGAGGAGCAGCAGCUCCUGAUCCGGUCGGAGUCAAACUAGUGGAAGCUGAAGAUCCGUGACUGAGGAGGAAGUUAGAAGAUCAGAGGUUUGGCUCCGAUCUUCUAACUCAGGAAGCUGAGGUCAGAGGAAGGAGGGAUGAUGAUGAUCCUGAACCUGUCUGAAUGUCUUCAGCUCUUUUGCUCCUUCCAGGCUUCCAUCCACCUGAUCCACCUUCUGCUUGCAGCCUGAGAUCUUCUUCCUUCCUGAUUUGGUUCCUCUGCAGUUUGUCCUCCAGGUUCUUCCUGUUCUUCUGUCUCUAAUCUGGACUGCAGCUGCUUCUGUUCCCCGUCAUUCUGCUUCCAUCGCUCUGCUCUGGCGGCGAUGCUGCCGUCCACACAGCUUCCUGUCGGUCAUGGCUCUGAUGUCAUCUCCAUGAGGCUGGCAGAGAGCAAUCCAAUCAGUUGCUUCAAACAAGCCUGGCGGGCCUCUUCUGCUUCCUGUCACCAUUUCCUAACAGCCAUCUUGUUAACGGGGAGCGUCUUCACAAAUUAAGAGUCAAAAAUUAUUAAAACAUGGAGGUUAAUUUUUCAGUAAUAUUUAAUUAGAAAGCUAAAUAUUUUGUUUAUAUUUUAGUUUCUAUUAGAAACAAAAUGUAGCAAGCUAAGUAUUUAUUUUGUACUUAGCUUAUUAUUUUGUAUUUAGUUUACAAAAUCGUAAUAUUUAGCUAGCUCAAAAUAAAUAGCUGAAAUGCAAAUUCACUUCCUGCUAAGUGGAUUUUCAAAAUAAAAGCUGGCUGCAUCAUUGUUGCAGUAGAUCAGGGCUGCUAAUGAUCGAUUACUAAACUUCUGUACCGUCUUUAAAAUGGCUCAGCUGAAAUAUUGGACAAGAGGAAAAUAAACGAAGAGGUAACAAGAAACAACUCAAGCAGUUAUUAAAGACUUUCGGAAGACCCGGCUUUUAUCUUGGUAAUUCACUUCCUGUUAUCAGCCAGGCUUAGCUAAAUAUUCAGCUAAUAUUAGCAAAUAAACAAUAUCUUACUGAAUUGUGACAAUUUUGAAUUAAAAAUGGAAAUACAACUGAAAAAAUAUUUCUUUUGACAUGUUCAAUAAAUUUGAUCUGGGACUGUGAACCUGGUUCUGACUCGGGUUGGACUCCGAUCAGCAGCAGUCAGUCCCAGAAUGUUCUGGGAGUAUCUGGAAUAUGAUCCUGCUGAUUGCUGCACCUGUUCAAC